CCCCCCAAAACGAAAAGUGUGACGGGGUUACCCAAAGUGCUCUUUUUAGAGCUGUGGUAGGUGAGUAAUGUUCCCUCCUAUAAAGGAGAGGGCAAGGCUGGUGCCAGCCGCCGCGGUAAAACCAGCUCUUCAAGUGGUCGGGAUAAUUAUUGGGCUUAAAGUGUCCGUAGCCGGUUUAGUAAGUUCCUGGUAAAAUCGGGUAGCUUAACUAUCUAUAUGCUAGGAAUACUGCUAUACUAGAGGGCGGGAGAGGUCUGAGGUACUACAGGGGUAGGGGUGAAAUCUUAUAAUCCUUGUAGGACCACCAGUGGCGAAGGCGUCAGACUGGAACGCGCCUGACAGUGAGGGACGAAAGCCAGGGGAGCGAACCGGAUUAGAUACCCGGGUAGUCCUGGCCGUAAACGAUGCAUACUAGGUGAUGGUACGGCCAUGAGCCGUAUCAGUGCCGUAGGGAAACCGUUAAGUGUGCCGCCUGGGAAGUACGGUCGCAAGGCUAAAACUUAAAGGAAUUGGCGGGGGA
rnacentral:rRNA from 1 species